rnacentral:lncRNA from 1 species
GUGUUGGGUGAGAGUGUUUCUCUGAAAGGCUGGGUUUUAAUUCUGGCUGAGGAGAAGGCAAUGGCACCCCACCCCAGUACUCUAGCCUGGAAAAUCCCAUGGAUGGAGCCUGGUAGGCUGCAGUCCAUGGGGUCACUAAGAGUCGGACACGACUGAGUGACUUCACUUUGACUUUUCACUUUCAUGCAUUGGAGAAGGAAAUGGUAACCCACUCCAGUGUUCUUGCCUGGAGAAUCCCAGGGAUGGGGGAGCCUGGUGGGCUGCUAUCUAUGGGGUCGCACAGAGUCGGACAUGACUGAAGCGACUUAGCAGCAGCAGCAGCAGCAGAGGACAAUUCUCCCGCUUUGGGCUCAGGAGUGAACCAACCAGCAUUUCCUAGAGUCUGAUAAUAGCUGCGGGGCUCCAUAGCUCUUUGGCCUAACCUGGUCUCUGGGCUCAGGGAAGAGGCUCCGCCUUGGGUGGGCGUGGCCAUGUGCCUUACUCUGGCCAAUGAGACGGGCAAGGUACAGCUUGUCAGUCCUGGAAAGACCCCUGAAGGGCCCACAUAUCCAUUAGCCUCUUCUGGGACAAAGUGCAGACAGAGACGGAGCCUCCAACCCUUGGGUCCCUGGGAUCGAGUAGGACGUGCACCCAGGGCCUCUUGGGGUGUCCGAGUUACUGCCUGAGUGGACGCUGUGACGGUGCAGACUCUGGGGAGGUCACGUGCCUUCAGCUGGCUCUUACAUCUGUGGGGUAAGGAGAG